GUGCUUGCUUUGGCAGCACAUAUACUAAACUUGGAACGAUACAGAGAAGAUUAGCAUGGCCCCUGCACAAGAAUGACACGCAAAUUCAUGAAGCAUUCCGUAUUUUU
rnacentral:snRNA from 1 species